AGCAGCCGCGGUAAUUCCAGCUCCAAUAGCGUAUAUUAAAGUUGCUGCAGUUAAAAAGCUCGUAGUUGAAUUUCGGGACCGAUAUAUCGGUCGUGCCUCGGUACGUACUGGUAUUUUCGGUUUCUACCUUCUGACGAACCUUGAUGUCAUUAAUUUGGUGUCUUGGGGAAUCAGGACUGUUACUUUGAAAAAAAUUGAGUGUUUAAAGCAGGCUCACGCUUGAAUACAUUAGCAUGGAAUAAUGAAAUAGGACGUUUGAUUCUAUUUUGUUGGUUUCUUAGGAUUCGACGUAAUGAUUAAUAGGGAUAGUUGGGGGCAUUAGUAUUCAAUUGUCAGAGGUGAAAUUCUUGGAUUUAUUGAAGACUA
rnacentral:rRNA from 1 species